GAUGAACGCUAGCUACAGGCUUAACACAUGCAAGUCGAGGGGCAGCAUGUCGUGUGCUUGCACACGGUGAUGGCGACCGGCGCACGGGUGAGUAACGCGUAUCCAACCUUCCCUGGGGUCCGGAAUAGCCCGGUGAAAACCGGAUUAAUGCCGGAUGUCGUGCGAUGAUGGCAUCAGAGUUGCACGAAAGGCUUGCCGCCUCGGGAUGGGGAUGCGUCUGAUUAGCUUGUUGGCGGGGUAACGGCCCACCAAGGCUACGAUCAGUAGGGGUUCUGAGAGGAAGGUCCCCCACAUUGGAACUGAGACACGGUCCAAACUCC
rnacentral:rRNA from 1 species